rnacentral:piRNA from 1 species
UACAUGGCUUGGACUUUCUCACC